AGUGAACGCUGGCGGUAGGCCUAACACAUGCAAGUCGAACGGCAGCACAGUAAGAGCUUGCCCUUACGGGUGGCGAGUGGCGGACGGGUGAGGCAUACAUCGGAAUCUACUUUUUCGUGGGGGAUAACGUAGGGAAACUUACGCUAAUACCGCAUACGACCUACGGGUGAAAGCAGGGGAUCUUCGGACCUUUCGCGAUUGAAUGAGCCGAUGUCGGAUUAGCUAGUUGGCGGGGUAAAGGCCCACCAAGGCGACGAACCGUAGCUGAUCUGAGAGGAUGAUCAGCCACACUGGAACUGAGACACGGUCCAGACUCCUACGGGAGGCAGCAGUGGGGAAUAUUGGACAAUGGGCGCAAGCCUGAUCCAGCCAUACCGCGUGGGUGAAGAAGGCCUUCGGGUUGUAAAGCCCUUUUGUUGGGAAAGAAAAGCAGCAGGUUAAUACCCCGCUGUUCUGACGGUACCCAAAGAAUAAGCACCGGCUAACUUCGUG
rnacentral:rRNA from 1 species